rnacentral:rRNA from 1 species
GACGAACGCUGGCGGCGUGCCUAAUACAUGCAAGUCGAACGCUGAAGAGAGGAGCUUGCUCUUCUUGGAUGAGUUGCGAACGGGUGAGUAACGCGUAGGUAACCUGCCUUGUAGCGGGGGAUAACUAUUGGAAACGAUAGCUAAUACCGCAUAACAAUGGCUGACACAUGUCAUUUAUUUGAAAGGGGCAAUUGCUCCACUACAAGAUGGACCUGCGUUGUAUUAGCUAGUAGGUGAGGUAAUGGCUCACCUAGGCGACGAUACAUAGCCGACCUGAGAGGGUGGUCGGCCAACCUGGGACUGAGACACGGCCCAGACUCCUACGGGAAGCAGCAGUAGGGAAUCAUCGGCAAUGGGGGCAACCCUGACCGAGCAACGCCGCGUGAGGGAAGAAGGUUUUCGGAUCGUAAAGCUCUGUUGUAAGUCAAGAACGGGUGUGAGAGUGGAAAGUUCACACUGUGACGGUAGCUUACCAGAAAGGGACGGCUAACUACGUG